CGUAUGGCGACCGGCGCACGGGUGCGUAACGCGUAUGCAACCUACCUUUAACAGGGGCAUAACACUGAGAGAUUGGUACUAAUUCCCCAUAACAUUCGAGAAGGCAUCUUCUUGGGUUAAAAACUCCGGUGGUUAAAGAUGGGCAUGCGUUGUAUUAGCUAGUUGGUGAGGUAACGGCUCACCAAGGCAACGAUACAUAGGGGGACUGAGAGGUUAACCCCCCACAUUGGUACUGAGACACGGACCAA
rnacentral:rRNA from 1 species